rnacentral:rRNA from 1 species
UACGUAGGGUGCAAGCGUUGUCCGGAAUUAUUGGGCGUAAAGAGCUCGUAGGCGGUCUGUUGCGUCGGCUGUGAAAACCCGCGGCUCAACCUCGGGCCUGCAGCCGAUACGGGCAGACUAGGGUUCGGCAGGGGAGACUGGAAUUCCUGGUGUAGCGGUGAAAUGCGCAGAUAUCAGGAGGAACACCGGUGGCGAAGGCGGGUCUCUGGGCCGAUACUGACGCUGAGGAGCGAAAGCGUGGGGAGCGAACAGG